rnacentral:rRNA from 1 species
GAUGAACGCUGACAGAAUGCUUAACACAUGCAAGUCUACUUGAACUUCGGUUUGGGUGGCGGACGGGUGAGUAACGCGUAAAGAACUUGCCUCACAGACUGGGACAACAUUUGGAAACGAAUGCUAAUACCGGAUAUUAUGAGAUAUGCGCAUGCAUAACUUAUGAAAGCUAUAUGCGCUGUGAGAGAGCUUUGCGUCCCAUUAGCUAGUUGGAGAGGUAACGGCUCACCAAGGCGAUGAUGGGUAGCCGGCCUGAGAGGGUGAACGGCCACAAGGGGACUGAGACACGGCCCUU